ACAAACUUGGUCAUUUAGAGGAAGUAAAAGUCGUAACAAGGUUUCCGUAGGUGAACCUGCGGAAGGAUCAUUAACGAGUUUUAAUUGUUAGGUUAGAGUUGAGCUGGUUAAUCUAAUUAAUAUGUGCUUACUCUAAUCGAAACAAGUCCACUCAUUACUUAACACUUGUGAACUUAUUCAUUACAAACAUUAUUAUUUGUUAUUGGAACGUUUGAUUAUUAAAAAGUUAAUACAACUUUCAACAACGGAUCUCUUGGCUCUCGCAUCGAUGAAGAACGCAGC
rnacentral:misc_RNA from 1 species